rnacentral:lncRNA from 1 species
GCAACAUCCAGGGACUGGAGAGAACAGAAACUACCUUGGCUCCAACUCAAUGUUGUCAUGUGGUAACAGACCACAAACCUAAGCCACUUCCGGCUUGUUGUUUAACUCUUGGCCCACGUGUGUUUUGUUUCUGUUUUAUUGGCUCUUCAGUGGAACUGCAAAAAGACUCGUGGCCUCCUUUCAUCCAGCCAGGGAAAACCAGCGACCAUCUCUCUUUCCACAACCUUCUUGGGAUAUCUUCAAGGAACUCUACCCGAUUUGUUAAACAUGACCUCCUCUGCCUGGGUCCUUGCAGCCUUCCUUCAAUAAAGUGGGCUUUUCCAGGUGUUCUCCAACCACAUCUUUUAAGAAUGUUUCCAAGAACUCCUCUACUGCACCCCUUCUAUCCCUAAAUGAACCAGAUGUUACCCACGCUGAUCUCCUAUCUCCCUGCUUGUCUUAAGAGGGAUCUUGAAAGAAAUAUGAAGGAUGGAUCUGGCUAUUUUCAAAUCCUUGCAAAUUACUUCCAAAUAAAUGAACUUCAGUUACUGACUCUUUACCUUGUCUGCUUUUCCCACGAUUGCAAAUUAAAAAAA